rnacentral:sRNA from 1 species
UCAAAAACCAAAAAAAA